GCCGGUUUAGCUCAGUCGGUAGAGCAACUGAUUUGUAAUCAGUAGGUCGCGGGUUCGAUUCCUGCAACCGGCA
rnacentral:tRNA from 1 species